UUGAAACUGAAAGUAUAUCGUAAAAAAAGAACAGUAAAUGUAUCAUACAGCGGCACUGUCAGUUUAAUGGCCGUACUUUGGUUGUGCAGAGAAUUGGAGGUGCAGAAAAUUCUAUGCAUACAUAACCAUGCAACGUUUACAAUACAUCAACGUAACUUACCAGUCACGGACUACUCUGUUGCAAUCGUUACUGUCCAGUUCUACCAGGAGCUCAGUUUCAUUUGCUGAACAAUAGAUAGGUACACAACUGAUCUCCCUCAUUUGUGAAACACAAGCAUCUGAAAAAAUCCUUCCUCCAUCACUGUAUCGUUGAUUUGUAAUAUUUUUCAAAAACAUUUGGACGCUAGCAGACUUCUUUCGAUAAUCUUCAAGGAACUCUGUUGUCAUCUAAUUGUAAAUUCAAGGUAUGAUUUUAUCAUUUGUAAUGAUUUCUGAUGAUUUUUAGAAUUGUCUCAAUUGACGCGAA